UAUAGAUUAUAAGAGCAGACCCACAGAUGGAGUGAAACUGUCAGAUUAACAUCCCUGCAGUGUCAAAGUCACAUGAAGGCUUCUACAAGUGUCAGUCCUCAGGAAAAGAAUCUCCACAGAGCUGGUUGGCAGUAACAUCAUCCAGACCUGACAGCUCUUCACUUCAUGUUCUGAUGAUUGUUGGACCAGUUUGUGUUUUUUUACUGAUGAUUUUCCUGCUGAUUUUUUAUUUGUACAAAAAGGCAAAAGAUUCAAGCUCCAUCAGCAGAUCUGAUGAACAGAAUCAGAAUCAUUAUCCAGAUGAGAUUGAUGCUGAACACAACACAUAUGCUUCUCUGCUCCAAGGUGACGUUUCUCUUUAUGAUUCACUCAGAGGCCCUGAAGACACAGAAAAUGAUCCAGAGUAUGCCAACAUAGGUAAUCUGAGGAGACUUUAAGGAUGAUGUGAAAUAACUGAUCAUAAAUAAACACAAAUAACAAUAAGUUUAGC